ACGUUUCUUUAUCACGUCGGCCAUUUGUCCGGCCAGAGCCUGAGAAAGGCUACCAUAUCCAAAAUGGCAGCAGGCGCGCAAAUGGAACCAACCUCAACAUGAGGAUUAGUGACAAGUAGCAAUAUAGGGCGUUUAAGGUCUUGUAUUUGGAAUGAGUGCAAAUGGGAUUCCUUAACGAGCAACAGUUGGAGGGCAAGAUUGGUCCCAGCAGCUGCCAUAACCCCAGCUCCAAUAGUGU
rnacentral:ncRNA from 1 species